rnacentral:snoRNA from 1 species
UGAUGACAAUUUCUCCGGAAUCUCUGUACGUUUUUUGAUGAUACUCUUUGAACCCUUUUUGCUGAUGACUGUUAUGCUC